rnacentral:lncRNA from 1 species
GCCAGGAUAAAAGCCAUCCCACUUAGUGUCCAUUUCACAAAGUGAAAUCUAAUUAGUAAAAUGUUUAAAAGUUAAUGAAGAAUACACGAUGUCAGAAAAUAUGUUCUAAUGAAGAGCAGUCCUCUCAUACCAGCACUGUGCUGUCAUAAACUCUUACUACGUAAGUCAUAUUUUGGUGUCGACGCUAAUAAAAUACUGUAAGUAAUGGGCCAGGAGGUGUGCUGUGCAAAAUGUCUCGCCAUCUCUUUAGAAGUUCAACUGUAAUGUUAAUGGAGCCUCCCUGCAGACACAUGCAUGAGAGCAUCUUACUAAAUGCUGGGUUUUGCCUUCCAGUUCAUGUCUCUUUCUCCAGAACUUUGGACAAUAAUCCAGUGAGGGUGUUUCACUCAGGUCUCUGGGAUGCAGACACUGUCUUAGACACAGUCUAGCUUGUCUGAAUUGUCCUAUCCAGUGAUAGGACUAGAGGGAAUGGCUUCAAGCUGCGCCAGGGAAGGUUCAGGCUGGACAUUAGGAAAUACUACUUCUCUGAAAGGGUGGUCAGGCACUGGAAUGGGCUGCCCAGAGAGGUGGUGGAGUCACCGAGCCUGGUGGUGUUCAAAGAGCGUUUGGACGUUGUGUUGAGGGACAUGGUUUAGGGAGAACCAUUGGUGAAGGGUGAAUGGUUGGACUGGAUGAUCCUGUGGGUCUUUUCCAACCUUAGCGAUUCUAUGAUUCUAUGAUUCUAUGACUUUCAGUUCGUUGGUGCUGUUUUCAUUGCUUUUUAAAUACAGGCCCUAAUUUCUUUUUGACGGUGCACACCAAAUGAUAACACACGGGCCCGGAGGCCCUUUCUUCAGUUGUGCUCACUGCCACCCAAAUUCAGAACCAUAUUUAAGUUUUGAACUCAGUUGCAAUACUUUUAAUAAAUCCCUUAUGAAACACUGAAGGAAGUUGAAAGCUGAUGAAUAUGGAUCAAUUAAUAUCCAGGCUUGAGACAUGCGUGUUUCAAGAACACUGCCGUGACGUGGUGUGGCACAUGUAACUUCCCGCAGUGUAUAACUUAGAGUCACCAGUUAGAUCACUGAACUUGGAGAGGCUGACAUGGCUGUCCUCUGAUCUGUCGGAUUGUUAAUAAUGUGGACUUUGUGUGGACAAAAAACCACAUCCCAUGUCAUUUACUAAUGCUUUUAUUUUAUUUGUGUACUCUGGCUACCAGAAGGAAACUAAAAUUUUCAAAAUUACAUACUAUUUUAAUAAAUGUUCGUGCUUUCCCCCAGCACUACUGAGACUUCCUUCUACAGUCUUCCUUGUUGCAUCUGUAUCAUGUUUUAUUUCUUUUCAUUCACUUCUGCCCUCACUGGGAUGUGUACGGUUGAAAUUUAAGUAAACCAAAUAAAUUAUAUUUGAAUUCCAACAUGGGAAUCUUGCCUAAUGAGUCUGGCACGUUAUCUGUGUUGAUAGGAGACAACUAAUAUUUAAUAUUACCAGUCAUAAAAAAUAGCUACUUAGACUGCUUAUAGAGAAUCUUAAAUUUUUGCAUUCUAUUUAUUUUUCAUUUAUGUCUGUUCUUAAACAUCUUCCUCUGUCUGUUUGUUAGCUGAUAAAUCUAACUGUUAUAGGCUUAGUGUAGACAUCAUUUAUACCUAGAAAAGCAUAUCUGAAAAUACAUUACCUUUAAAUAGUGGGAUCCAUCACAUCUGAGCUCCCAUGUCUGAUAGUGGAAAAAGCUCCAUUUCAUUUCAGAAGAAAAAUUGCUUCUGUCAAGGUAAACAGAAUGCAUUAUCCCCCUUUAAUAACCAUUUUUAAGCAUGCUUCUGUAUAACUUUUUUUCACAGCUGUAUUGCAAUAAGCCUUAGAGUAAUUGCCAGUUCUUCUGCCUAAUAGGUUCAUUAUUCUUUUGCCAUAAUUGCAGCCAUUAAACGUCCAAUUGUUAAAUUUCCACUCCUAC